GGAAAAACAAGCCAGAGAAACUGGUUUUGAGGAACGAAAACAGAAGCUGUAAGAGUCCCUGCCCUUUUAUUUGCAUCAGCGGAAACUAUCUGCUGUUUAAAUCAUUUGUGACUGGAAGAGUACUGGGAACAUUUCAAACAGCACUGUUCAUUUUACGCUGGUUGGAUAUAAAGAGUUUAAGAUUACAUCAGGCUGAUAGAGCAAAUGUUUUUUCCUGUAUGUCUGAGAGGAUGCAUCAACAAAUUCCAAACCAUAAAGAGAGGAUCAGGGGAGACCAGCAUGGAGCAGACAUCUAUAGUGAAUGGACAUAAAUUAAGUGAACUUUCUAAAAUCGAGUGAACUUUUUACAAGUUUACAGGAGAAAAACAAAUUCUGUUCUGUAUAAACUAAAAUGUUAGGUAUAAGCUAAACUCUUAAACAGGAAUGGAAGACUGUCCAGACCCAGCUACAGAAUGAGAACUUCCAGAUUCGUGGACGUGACACAGAAGGUAGGACAAAACUCAGUGCCAAAUACUUCUUAUUAAUUUUGUUGCAUUAGAAUAUGAGAAGACAGCAUAGAUUUUUCCUUUGUGUUCUAAAACAAUGUAUAUAAUGUCAUCUGUGGAUUAUAAGCAAAACUUUUAAUUUGGAUGACUCGAUACGUAUGAUGUCACGUUGCUCGUGACCUAAACCUACUUCCGCGCAAAGUGAAAACAAGAAUGGCCUUUGCAACUGACCAAAACGAAAAGGUUUCGGUCCAGUGUCGGGAUAACCCAUAUGGAUUUAAUGGUGUGGUGGUGUAUGGGGAUGAAUCCUACGGCAUGACCUUAGGAUAUAUCCCAGAUAUGACUGGCUACAAUCAAUACCUAACUAGACGUGGAAAUGACUUCAGUGCUGGAGUCGUUAAUGCAGACGAUCUCAAUGAUGCUCAAUCAUCUCCUCAAAUGCUGCCAGUGAAUGUUUCAGUGACCAUAUCUGGUAUGACGGCUCCAAUGAACACUCGCAACCAACUAGGAGCUCGUCACAUGGACCCAUACUUCACUUAUGGCAAUGCAUUAGCACCCGUUUAUGGAUGGGGAGGGAACAGGUAUCAGCUUUGGGACAGAGAUGAGCAACACGAGGAGGAAGAGAGGGAUUCUCGUCUUAAGGGGAAAAAGAAGAAAGCAGAAAGAAGGAGGAGGAAAAGAUCCCGUCAUGCUGGUCAUUAGAAGGGCUAAAGAUCUGACCAGCAUGUAAAUAAAUAAAUAAACCAUUUUAAUUCCAAUGUAUGAAUUUCUCUGUGCUUUCUUUUGUUUGGUUUCCAUAUUCUUAAGUUGCAGAAUUAAGACCAGUUCACAACAAGAACGAUUACUAUAAUGAUAACUAAUUCUAUGAGAAGAGAGAAGAUCCUGCCAAAACUAAUCGGCAGAAGACAUAACUUAAGUUGCUGGUCUUUCAUUAUGCGAACGCUUCCCGUUUCGUUUCAUUUAACUUCCUACCUUAUUGGAGAGAAAUGAAGUAACGUU
ensembl:lncRNA